GAAGAGGGGAUAUUGGCCCUUUGGCCAGGAGAUAUACAACCACUUCCUGUUGUGUCACACUUGCCUGCAGUAACAUGCUGUAAGGUUUGUGGCAUAGGAGCAGUGGGCCAUACCAUAUAGUCAAGGUGUCACAUCCCGGUGGCUGGACAUGCCCUCUUGGGCUUGGCAGAUGCCAGUGGAUCCAUACAACUGCUCCGCCUGGUGGAAUCUGAGAAGAGCCACGUGCUGGAGCCAUUGUCCAGCCUUGCCCUGGAGGAGCAGUGUCUGGCUUUGUCCCUCGAUUGGUCCACUGGGAAAACUGGAAGGGCGGGGGACCAGCCCUUGAAGAUCAUCAGCAGUGACUCCACAGGGCAGCUCCACCUCCUGAUGGUGAAUGAGACGAGGCCCAGGCUGCAGAAAGUGGCCUCAUGGCAGGCACAUCAAUUCGAGGCCUGGAUUGCUGCUUUCAAUUACUGGCAUACAGAAAUUGUGUAUUCAGG
rnacentral:sRNA from 1 species